rnacentral:rRNA from 1 species
UUCGCAAUGCCCGAAAGGGUGCCGAUGCGACGCCGCGUGAGCGAAGAAGGCCCUAGGGUUGUAAAGCUCUGUCGAGGGUUAUGAAAUAUAGAUGGGUUAAUACCCCAUUUAUUUGACAAAAGCCCAAAAGGAAGCCACGGCUAACUCUGUGCCAGCAGCCGCGGUAAUACAGAGGUGGCGAGCGUUGUUCGGUAUUAUUGGGCGUAAAGAGCACGUAGGUGGUUUUGUAAGUCAGGUGUGAAAGCCUUCUGUUCAAAGGAAGAACGGCAUCUGAAACUGCAGAUCUUGAGUGUAGGAGGGGAGAGUGGAACUUCUGGUGGAGCGGUGAAAUGCGUAGAUAUCAGAAGGAACGCCGGCGGCGAAAGCGACUCUCUGGCCUAUUACUGACACUGAGGUGCGAAAGUUAGGGGAGCAAACGGGAUUAGAUACCCCGGUAGUCCUAACCGUAAACGAUGGGCACUAAGUAGAGGGGUUUU